rnacentral:rRNA from 1 species
ACGGGAGGCAGCAGUGGGGGAUAUUGGUCAAUGGGCGAAAGCCUGAACCAGCAACGCCGCGUGAAGGAAGAAGGCCUUCGGGUUGUAAACUUUUGUCUUCAGGAACGAAAAAAAUGACGGUACCUGAGGAGGAAGCCACGGCUAACUACGUGCCAGCAGCCGCGGUAAUACGUAGGUGGCAAGCGUUGUCCGGAAUUACUGGGUGUAAAGGGUGCGUAGGCGGGCUGUAAAGUCAGGUGUGAAACUCCGGAGCUCAACUCCGGAACUGCACUUGAAACUUACGGUCUUGAGUGAAGUAGAGGUAAGCGGAAUUCCCAGUGUAGCGGUGAAAUGCGUAGAUAUUGGGAGGAACACCGGUGGCGAAGGCGGCUUACUGGGCUUUAACUGACGCUGAGGCACGAAAGCAUGGGGAGCAAACAGGAUUAGAUACCCUGGUA